rnacentral:rRNA from 1 species
GACGAACGCUGGCGGCGUGCCUAAUACAUGCAAGUUGAGCGAUGAAGAUUGGUGCUUGCACCAAUUUGAAGAGCAGCGAACGGGUGAGUAACGCGUGGGGAAUCUGCCUUUGAGCGGGGGACAACAUUUGGAAACGAAUGCUAAUACCGCAUAACAACUUUAAACAUAAGUUUUAAGUUUUAAAGAUGCAAUUGCAUCACUCAAAGAUGAUCCCGCGUUGUAUUAGCUAGUUGGUGAGGUAAAGGCUCACCAAGGCGAUGAUACAUAGCCGACCUGAGAGGGUGAUCGGCCAAAUUGGGACUGAGACACGGCCCAAACUCCUACGGGAGGCAGCAGUAGGGAAUCUUCGGAAAUGGACGAAAGUCUGGCCGAGCAACGACGCGUGAGUGAAGAAGGGUUUCGGAUCGUAAAACUCUGUUGGUAGAGAAGAACGUUGGUGAGAGUGGAAAGCUCAUCAAGUGACGGUAACUACCCAGAAAGGGACGGCUAACUACGUG